rnacentral:rRNA from 1 species
ACUCCUACGGGAGGCAGCAGUGGGGAAUAUUGGACAAUGGGCGAAAGCCUGAUCCAGCCAUGCCGCGUGUGUGAAGAAGGUCUUCGGAUUGUAAAGCACUUUAAGUUGGGAGGAAGGGCAGUAAGCGAAUACCUUGCUGUUUUGACGUUACCGACAGAAUAAGCACCGGCUAACUCCGUGCCAGCAGCCGCGGUAAU